rnacentral:rRNA from 1 species
UACGGGGGGAGCAAGCGUUGUUCGGAUUUACUGGGCGUAAAGGGCGCGUAGGCGGCGUGACAAGUCACUUGUGAAAUCUCCGGGCUUAACUCGGAACGGUCAAGUGAUACUGUCGUGCUAGAGUACAGAAGGGGCAACUGGAAUUCUCGGUGUAGCGGUGAAAUGCGUAGAUAUCGAGAGGAACACCUGCGGCGAAGGCGGGUUGCUGGGCUGAUACUGACGCUGAGGCGCGAAAGCUAGGGGAGCAAACAGG